rnacentral:rRNA from 1 species
UUUAAAAUGAGAGUUUGAUCCUGGCUCAGGACGAACGCUGGCGGCGUGCCUAAUACAUGCAAGUCGAGCGAGCGGAACUAACAGAUUUACUUCGGUAAUGACGUUAGGAAAGCGAGCGGCGGAUGGGUGAGUAACACGUGGGGAACCUGCCCCAUAGUCUGGGAUACCACUUGGAAACAGGUGCUAAUACCGGAUAAGAAAGCAGAUCGCAUGAUCAGCUUUUAAAAGGCGGCGUAAGCUGUCGCUAUGGGAUGGCCCCGCGGUGCAUUAGCUAGUUGGUAAGGUAAAGGCUUACCAAGGCGAUGAUGCAUAGCCGAGUUGAGAGACUGAUCGGCCACAUUGGGACUGAGACACGGCCCAAACUCCUACGGGAGGCAGCAGUAGGGAAUCUUCCACAAUGGACGCAAGUCUGAUGGAGCAACGCCGCGUGAGUGAAGAAGGUUUUCGGAUCGUAAAGCUCUGUUGUUGGUGAAGAAGGAUAGAGGUAGUAACUGGCCUUUAUUUGACGGUAAUCAACCAGAAAGUCACGGCUAACUACGUGCCAGCAGCCGCGGUAAUACGUAGGUGGCAAGCGUUGUCCGGAUUUAUUGGGCGUAAAGCGAGCGCAGGCGGAAGAAUAAGUCUGAUGUGAAAGCCCUCGGCUUAACCGAGGAACUGCAUCGGAAACUGUUUUUCUUGAGUGCAGAAGAGGAGAGUGGAACUCCAUGUGUAGCGGUGGAAUGCGUAGAUAUAUGGAAGAACACCAGUGGCGAAGGCGGCUCUCUGGUCUGCAACUGACGCUGAGGCUCGAAAGCAUGGGUAGCGAACAGGAUUAGAUACCCUGGUAGUCCAUGCCGUAAACGAUGAGUGCUAAGUGUUGGGAGGUUUCCGCCUCUCAGUGCUGCAGCUAACGCAUUAAGCACUCCGCCUGGGGAGUACGACCGCAAGGUUGAAACUCAAAGGAAUUGACGGGGGCCCGCACAAGCGGUGGAGCAUGUGGUUUAAUUCGACGCAACGCGAAGAACCUUACCAGGUCUUGACAUCUAGUGCCAUUUGUAGAGAUACAAAGUUCCCUUCGGGGACGCUAAGACAGGUGGUGCAUGGCUGUCGUCAGCUCGUGUCGUGAGAUGUUGGGUUAAGUCCCGCAACGAGCGCAACCCUUGUUAUUAGUUGCCAGCAUUAAGUUGGGCACUCUAAUGAGACUGCCGGUGACAAACCGGAGGAAGGUGGGGAUGACGUCAAGUCAUCAUGCCCCUUAUGACCUGGGCUACACACGUGCUACAAUGGGCAGUACAACGAGAAGCGAGCCUGCGAAGGCAAGCGAAUCUCUGAAAGCUGUUCUCAGUUCGGACUGCAGUCUGCAACUCGACUGCACGAAGCUGGAAUCGCUAGUAAUCGCGGAUCAGCACGCCGCGGUGAAUACGUUCCCGGGCCUUGUACACACCGCCCGUCACACCAUGGGAGUCUGCAAUGCCCAAAGCCGGUGGCCUAACCUUCGGGAAGGAGCCGUCUAAGGCAGGGCAGAUGACUGGGGUGAAGUCGUAACAAGGUAGCCGUAGGAGAACCUGCGGCUGGAUCACCUCCUUUCUAAGGAA